rnacentral:rRNA from 1 species
GACGAACGCUGGCGGCGUGCUUAACACAUGCAAGUCGAACGAUGAAGGAGAGCUUGCUCUCCGGAUUAGUGGCGAACGGGUGAGUAACACGUGACUAACCUGCCCCUUUCUCUGGGAUAACGCUCCGAAAGGAGUGCUAAUACCGGAUACGAACUCUGAACACAUGUUCGGAGUUGGAAAGUUUUUCGGAAAGGGAUGGAGUCGCGGCCUAUCAGCUUGUUGGUGAGGUAACGGCUCACCAAGGCGACGACGGGUAGCCGGCCUGAGAGGGCGACAGGCCACACUGGGACUGAGACACGGCCCAGACUCCUACGCGAGGCAGCAGUGGGGAAUAUUGCACAAUGGGCGAAAGCCUGAUGCAGCGACGCCGCGUGAGGGAUGAAGGUCUUCGGAUUGUAAACCUCUUUCAGUAGGGACGAAGCGAAAGUGACGGUACCUAAAGAAGAAGCACCGGCUAACUACGUGCCAGCCGCCGCGGUAA